AGAGUUUGAUCCUGGCUCAGGAUGAACGCUGGCGGCGUGCCUAAUACAUGCAAGUCGAGCGAACGGACGAGAAGCUUGCUUUUCUGAUGUUAGCGGCGGACGGGUGAGUAACACGUGGAUAACCUACCUAUAAGACUGGGAUAACUUCGGGAAACCGUAGCUAAUACCGGAUAAUAUUUUGAACCGCAUGGUUCAAAAGUGAAAGACGGUCUUGCUGUCACUUAUAGAUGGAUCCGCGCUGCAUUAGCUAGUUGGUAAGGUAACGGCUUACCAAGGCAACGAUGCAUAGCCGACCUGAGAGGGUGAUCGGCCACACUGGAACUGAGACACGGUCCAGACUCCUACGGGAGGCAGCAGUAGGGAAUCUUCCGCAAUGGGCGAAAGCCUGACGGAGCAACGCCGCGUGAGUGAUGAAGGUCUUCGGAUCGUAAAACUCUGUUAUUAGGGAAGAACAUAUGUGUAAGUAACUGUGCACAUCUUGACGGUACCUAAUCAGAAAGCCACGGCUAACUACGUGCCAGCAGCCGCGGUAAUACGUAGGUGGCAAGCGUUAUCCGGAAUUAUUGGGCGUAAAGCGCGCGUAGGCGGUUUUUUAAGUCUGAUGUGAAAGCCCACGGCUCAACCGUGGAGGGUCAUUGGAAACUGGAAAACUUGAGUGCAGAAGAGGAAAGUGGAAUUCCAUGUGUAGCGGUGAAAUGCGCAGAGAUAUGGAGGAACACCAGUGGCGAAGGCGACUUUCUGGUCUGUAACUGACGCUGAUGUGCGAAAGCGUGGGGAUCAAACAGGAUUAGAUACCCUGGUAGUCCACGCCGUAAACGAUGAGUGCUAAGUGUUAGGGGGUUUCCGCCCCUUAGUGCUGCAGCUAACGCAUUAAGCACUCCGCCUGGGGAGUACGACCGCAAGGUUGAAACUCAAAGGAAUUGACGGGGACCCGCACAAGCGGUGGAGCAUGUGGUUUAAUUCGAAGCAACGCGAAGAACCUUACCAAAUCUUGACAUCCUUUGACAACUCUAGAGAUAGAGC
rnacentral:rRNA from 1 species